GUAAUUCAGUGUUUUUAUUCACCAUAUGUUCUUAUCAUUUAGUAGGGCAAGGGGAAGCACUAGGGAAUGUAAAACAUUUUAGAGGAGGAAAUAUACUAAUACAUAAGAACAGAGUAAAACAAUAACAGAUGCAGUAUGCAUCACAAUCACUGUCAAAUUACCAAAAACUAUGAAAAGAGUAAUUUCAAUCAAUACUACUCAAGUAUCUGCCUCUUCUGCAAGAUAUCCUACUAUUUUGGUCUUGGGAUUUCACCAUUCACCUGUGUAAUUAAACAAUGCUGUAAUUUAUUCUGUAGAGAACAGAAAUAGGAAAAAAAAAAAAUUUCCCGGUCAGAAUCUAUUUUUCUGACUCUAAAAAAAAAAUGUCUAUCUUUAAAACAUGAACUUUCUGAAAUAGGAAUACAUUUAACUAGCUGUCCCACAUGUAUUUAACCCAGUACUAAAGAUGCUAGAAUUUACACAUUGGGGAAAACAU